GGCUCGGUAGCUUAGUUGGUAAAGCGCUCGUCUAGCAUCCAAGAGUCCUAGGGUUCAAAUCCCAGCCGAGCAC
rnacentral:tRNA from 1 species